rnacentral:rRNA from 1 species
AACGAACGCUGGCGGCAUGCCUAACACAUGCAAGUCGAACGAGACCUUCGGGUCUAGUGGCGCACGGGUGCGUAACGCGUGGGAACCUGCCCUUAGGUUCGGAAUACCUCCCCGAAAGGGGUGCUAAUACCGGUUAAGGUCUUCGGACCAAAGAUUUAUCGCUUUUGGAUGGGCCCGCGUUGGAUUAGCCAGUUGGUAGGGUAAAAGCCUACCAAGGCGACGAUCCAUAGCUGGUCUGAGAGGAUGAUCAGCCACACUGGGACUGAGACACGGCCCAGACUCCUACGGGAGGGAGCAGUGGGGAAUAUUGGACGAUGGGCGAAAGCCUGAUCCAGCAAUGCCGCGUGAGUGAUGAAGGCCUUAGGGUUGUAAAGCUCUUUUACCCGGGAUGAUAAUGACAGUACCGGGAGAAUAAGCUCCGGCUAACUCCGUG